UUACAGUCUUAUGAAAUAACUUUCCAUAACAUCCUUCUCGGUGCAAUGUUUUCUCUUAAAAAAAUGUUAUUUUCCCACUAAAUUCCUUUACAACAGAUGGCAUGUCCAUACUAAUAAGACUUUACUGUCUUGUUUGGGCAUUUCCAGAGAAAAACUUGAAGCUUUCUUAAUUCAUGCAAUGGAAGUUGGCUUGGUUUCUGAUGGUGCUCUAACACAAGACAUUAACCAAGCAUUAUCGUUUUGGCGUUUACGUGAGGGUUUACCAGAAGCAUUGCAAAAAUCAGGGGCAGUUUACAAAUAUGAUUUGUCUAUACCUGUUGAAAAGAUGUAUGAUCUUGUAGAGGAGAUGUGAACAAGACUUGAUGAAGUCCAUGGCUGGCACCCAAGCUUAGCCUUGGCCCCAGAAGUUGAAGAAGAAAACUUAUAACUUUUUGUUCAUUUCAAGUAAGUAA